GAUGAAGGAGGAGCUUGCUCCUCCGGAUUAGUGGCGAACGGGUGAGUAAUACGUGAGCAAUGUGCCCUUGACUCUGGGAUAAGCGCUGGAAACGGCGUCUAAUACCGGAUACGACGAUCGGAGGCAUCUCCUGGUCGUGGAAAGAACUUCGGUCAAGGAUCAGCUCACGGCCUAUCAGCUUGUUGGUGAGGUAACGGCUCACCAAGGCGACGACGGGUAGCCGGCCUGAGAGGGUGACCGGCCACACUGGGACUGAGACACGGCCCAGACUCCUACGGGAGGCAGCAGUGGGGAAUAUUGCACAAUGGGCGCAAGCCUGAUGCAGCAACGCCGCGUGAGGGACGAAGGCCUUCGGGUUGUAAACCUCUUUUAGCAGGGAAGAAGCGAGAGUGACGGUACCUGCAGAAAAAGCACCGGCUAACUACGUGCCAGCAGCCGCGGUAAUACGUAGGGUGCAAGCGUUGUCCGGAAUUAUUGGGCGUAAAGAGCUCGUAGGCGGUUUGUCGCGUCUGCUGUGAAAACCCGAGGCUCAACCUCGGGCUUGCAGUGGGUACGGGCAGACUAGAGUGCGGUAGGGGAGAUUGGAAUUCCUGGUGUAGCGGUGGAAUGCGCAGAUAUCAGGAGGAACACCGAUGGCGAAGGCAGAUCUCUGGGCCGUAACUGACGCUGAGGAGCGAAAGCAUGGGGAGCAAACAGGCUUAGAUACCUGGUAGUCCAUGCCGUAAACGUUGGGAACUAGAUGUGGGGACCAUUCCACGGUCUCCGUGUCGUAGCUAACGCAUUAAGUUCCCCGCCU
rnacentral:rRNA from 1 species